rnacentral:rRNA from 1 species
UGGGGAAUUUUGGACAAUGGGCGAAAGCCUGAUCCAGCAAUGCCGCGUGUGUGAAGAAGGCCUUCGGGUUGUAAAGCACUUUUGUCCGGAAAGAAAUCCUCUGGGUUAAUACCUCGGGGGGAUGACGGUACCGGAAGAAUAAGCACCGGCUAACUACGUGCCAGCAGCCGCGGUAAUACGUAGGGUGCAAGCGUUAAUCGGAAUUACUGGGCGUAAAGCGUGCGCAGGCGGUUUUGUAAGACGGAUGUGAAAUCCCCGGGCUUAACCUGGGAACUGCAUUCGUGACUGCAAGGCUAGAGUAUGGCAGAGGGGGGUAGAAUUCCACGUGUAGCAGUGAAAUGCGUAGAGAUGUGGAGGAAUACCGAUGGCGAAGGCAGCCCCCUGGGCCAAUACUGAUGCUCAUGCACGAAAGCGUGGGGAGCAAACAGGAUUAGAUACCCUGGUAGUCCACGCCCUAAACGAUGUCAACUAGUUGUUGGGGAUUCAUUUCCUUAGUAACGUGAGCUAACGCGUGAAAGUUGACCGCCUGGGGGAGUACGGUCGCAAGAUU